GACGAAGGGAUGCAAGCGUUAUCCGGAUUCAUUGGGUUUAAAGGGAAGGCGUAGGUGGCCUUAUAAGUCAGUGGUGAAAUCUCUCAGCUUAACUGAGAAAUUGCCAUUGAUACUGUAGGGCUUGAGUACAGAUGCCGUUGGCGGAAUGAUGACAUGUAGUGGUGGAAAUACAUAGAGAAUGUCAUAGAACACCGAUUGCGAAGGCAGCUGACGAAACUGUAACUGGACACUGAGGCUCGAAAGUGCGGGGAUCGAAAACAGGG
rnacentral:rRNA from 1 species